GUAGGGAAUAUUGGGCAAUGGAGGCAACUCUGACCCAGCCAUGCCGCGUGCAGGAUGACGGCCCUCUGGGUUGUAAACUGCUUUUACACGGGAAGAAAAAAUACUACGUGUAGUAUACUGACGGUACCGUAAGAAUAAGGAUCGGCUAACUCCGUGCCAGCAGCCGCGGUAAUACGGAGGAUCCAAGCGUUGUCCGGAUUUAUUGGGUUUAAAGGGUGCGUAGGCGGAUCUUUAAGUCAGUGGUGAAAGCCUGCAGCUUAACUGUAGAAUUGCCAUUGAAACUGAAGAUCUUGAAUGUGGUUAAAGUAGGCGGAAUGUAUCAUGUAGCGGUGAAAUGCUUAGAUAUGAUACAGAACACCGAUAGCGAAGGCAGCUUGCUGAACCAUUAUUGACGCUGAGGCACGAAAGCGUGGGGAGCGAACAGGAUUAGAAACCCCUGUAGUCC
rnacentral:rRNA from 1 species